AUCCAGUUGACAAGUCCCAAAUAGGACGAAACAUGCGUUAUAGAU
rnacentral:hammerhead_ribozyme from 1 species